CCUGCGUGGGUGAGGUAAUUAAGGGAGGUACUGUCUGAGGAUGUCAGAGCCUGUGAGAACAAGACAGUACAUUUAGAAAUGGUACAGAAAUGUACAUCAAAUGAAAUUCAAAAGGUGGUAAAUUCACACUUUCUCACCUCCAUAGCACGUCGGAUACCGGCCAGCCUCAGAGAGAAGUUGCUUGUCCCUUGGUGUCCAAAGUAACUCCUGUAAAUAGAAAUGUUUAGUAGCAAAUGUGCAACAUAAGAAGCUAAAGCAUACAUUAAUGCCAUGAGAUUAAGAUAUCCUUUUAUGUUAGCCUAUGUUACAACUGCAGGAUUUA